GGGUGUAAAGGCGCAUGCAGGGUGGUUCAUUAAGUCAGAUGUGAAAGCCCGGGGCUCAACCUCGGAACUGCAUUUGAAACUGGUGAACUAGAGUACUGUAGAGGGGGGUAGAAUUUCA
rnacentral:rRNA from 1 species